rnacentral:rRNA from 1 species
CACCGCGGUUAUACGAGAGGCUCAAGUUGAUAGCACCCGGCGUAAAGAGUGGUUAAAUAGACAAUAUAUACUAAAGCCGCACACCUUCAAAGCUGUUAUACGCACCCGAAGAGUAGAAGCACAAUCACGAAAGUAGCUUUACUAAAUACUGAACCCACGAAAGCUUGGGCA